GAUGUUCAUGCUAGUUUAUUUUCUUUUUUAACACACCGUUAAACUGACUGUUUUUUGACAGGGGCUGCGUUGUAUCAAACGUGGAGAAGAAGCACAUUUAUUGUUUAACGCCGACAUUUAAGAGUUCAUUAAAGGUUAGUCCGAACUGUGAUGUUAAAGUCACGCUGAAAAGUUUCAUCCGUACGUGCAUCGUGUGUCUCCGCGGUGUCGUUUAUUAACCAUCACGUUUUUUUCCGCUGUGAAGAUGUAGUUGGCACAUUUCACAUGCACAUUUCAAACGGUUUCACUCUGAACUCUCCUGUGGUUCAACUAUCGCAGUGCCAUGCGACCGGAAGUGUUAGAGUUAACAUUUCCUGCGAUAAUCUUCUGGUAGUCUAUUUGGAAACGCUUGGUUUUCCUCUUAAAUAGAUCCGAUAUAAUUUGUCUGCCGGUUAAAUACAGCUGAAGAAUCAAAGUGUAGAAAAUUCUGCUCGUUUUCUAAGGUGUUUCCCACAUGCUGUAAGCGGACCACAUUUAUUUUUAAAAGAAGUUUUCUUAAAUCUGUUUUAUUUAUCAAACAGUGAUGUUACAAUCGAUGUCCUUUUUGUCUUUAUUUUCCUUAUUGGAAGUUCUGUACAAAUGUUUGACAAUCACGCUGUAGUGUGUCCUCUCCCAGCCUGUCUUUGCUGGUAAAUAUCUGUUUGUUUGGUUCUUUGCAUGGACCCUGGUCUUUACAUCACAUAUUUUCUAUGUUGUUUCUGUCUGGUGUUUGUACAGGCCAGUUCCUGUCACAUUUACUACAUUUCCUAGUUUCGGAUGCACCGACGCAAUCCAUAACGCAUUUCAAUGUAAGGUUGCUGUUCUUUGGGUCAGAAAGUGUUAAUUUUUAUUUUAUUUUAUAGUCUUUAUUGUCAUUAUAACACAGGGAUAAAACGAAACUGAGCAGGGAUAAAACGAACCCAUCACCAAGGUUUCAUCAUCCUCACUCUGAUGCCGUUAGUGUAACAUGGAGCCGGAAGACGAACUGAAUCCUGACAAGGACGACCUGCCCUUACGAGCCAAUACUAACCACAUACUUGUCAAACAUUAUGUACUGGACCUGAGUGUUCAUUUCGAUAGAGAGGUCAUCAGUGGAAAUAUCGUUAUGUUUCUGGAGCCUUGCUGUGAAACAAGAGCUAUGUCCAAGGAUGGAACUGAAGCUGUUGAUGCAGCCUCAGUGGGUGAGGUAAGUCAGGAUGAGUUUGUGUGCAAAUUUAAUCAUGGAAAUCUAAUGAAGCAUGGAACAAAAGGAACUGUGACAAGCGCGGAGAAGAUGAUUGGUAUCAGAGAAAAAGACACAUUUCUGGUCUGGCGUGAUGUUGGAUCACAGUCUACAGCUGAAAUAAAAAACAACAGUUCCGCACAUUUGUGGGACUUAAACGGAGACUCUGAUUUCACGUUGGUGCUGGACUGCUGUGAUCUGAAUGUGACAGAGGUUGAGGAGGUAGAUGUCACCUCUGUGUCUGACAAGUGUGCUAUCUCAUCAAAGGAUGUGUCAGAUAAAGCAGGGCUAAAUCCCAACUUUACUCAGACACUCAUACACUUACCCUUUUGUAAAUGGAGGCAGAAGCACCAGCUUUUUUUAAUGUGUAGUCGAGCCCCCAUCGCACAGGCUGGAAGCCCACUGUCAUUUCGUAGUGAUCGAUGGAGUCUGCAGGUGAGAAAAAAGGGAGUGACUUGUCCUCAGGAAUUUCCCCACGUGAUUAGGAUCCUUUAUGAGACCAAGCCAACAGGUGGCUCUGUGAGAUGGACCAAAGACCAGGAUGACAGGGUGUGUGUUUACACGGCUGGGUCUCCCAUCAACAACCGUGCGCUCUUUCCUGGCCAGGAGCCGCCUGUUGCCAUGUCAACAUGGCAGGCUACAGUACGGGCCCCCAGUGACUGUUUGGUUUUGAUGAGUGGAGAGGAGGAAGCUGUACCUGUGGAGGAUAAAGACAGAUUGUUUUCAUCCUGGGACUACUACGUCACAAUGCCCAUGCCUGCCUCCACAUUCACCCUGGCAGUGGGCCACUGGUGCCAGGCAGCAGAAAUUCCCCGUGUUUUGGAAGGUGGGGUGAGGAACAAGGUGUACUGCCGCAGGACUGCCCCACCUGUGGCUGGGUCUGUGAAACAGACUGAGGAUGAGCUCGUGCUCAAGUGCAAAACUUCAUUUAGUGGAGAAAUAAUGGGCCAUGUAGUCCAGACUCGCAGUGGAGACCAGACCACCUUCUCAGACUCUACAUUUUCUCACACUUCCAUGGAGGUUGAGGAGCUUUCUGUAACUGAUUAUUCAGGCAUGGAUGGUGACGGAGUCUCUUGUUCCCAUGGCGACUACCUUUGCCGAUUUACUGAGCAGUCAGCUUGGUCCCAGCGGGUGAUACCACACCGAGUGUUUGGUCCUGUCAGCUUGAUGCACAAAGCCCAGGAAGGAGUUUUGAAGCUGUUGCCACGAUGCCUGGCUGCAGCGUAUGCCAUCCUGGGAACACAUCCCUUCUCUCGUCUUGAUGUUCUCAUUGUUCCUGCAGGGUUCUCCAGUCUAGGCAUGGCCAGCCCCCAUAUAAUAUUUCUGUCUCAAAGUGUACUGUAUACUGAAAGUCCUGGCUCUGGAGAGGGUGGGCUGUCUCUAUGUGGGUCCAGGUUGUGCCAUGAGAUUGCCCACUCCUGGUUUGGUCUGGUCAUAGGAGCCAGAGACUGGACUGAGGAAUGGAUCAGUGAGGGCUUCGCCACUUACCUCGAGGACAUCAUUUGGUCACGAGCACAACGGCUCUCUGCGGAAACAACGACAGAGCAGUCUGACCUGAAGGCGCUGCUGAGGUGGAGGAGGCUCUGUGAUGAGAUGCAGAAUUCAGAUGUGGAACUACAAAUCCUCAGACCCAACAUGGAUAAAACUGGUCAGGUCAACAAGUCCGGUUCUUCAAUAGUAAAACAUGCGCUCAACCCUGAAAAAACAUUUAUGCAGGUCCACUACCUUAAGGGCUACUUCCUCCUCAGAUUCCUGGCCAGUCAACUGGGAGAGCAACAGUUUAUAGAUUUCUUAAAAAUGUUUGUGAACAAAUACCAUGGGCAACUCAUUCUGUCUCAGGACUUCCUGCAAAUGCUGCUGCAUACUUUUCCUGACAUGGAGAGGUAUACAAGUGUCUGUGAAUACUUUUUAUGAGUGCAGUAUGACAAUUUAAUUUAAAAAAGAAAUUAAUUUUGUUAGGAUGAAUUUUAAUUGGGUUUAGACUAGUCGGAGUUCCCUACAUGGAGACAUCUUAUUCAUUGGAUAUUUUUCUCCUUUUUGUUUGUUUGUUUCUUUUUUUUUUUCAAAAUAGCAUGAGGUAUAUUUCAUUUCCGAUGUCAUUUGUGCAUCAGCAUGUGUCUCGUUGGUUGUUCUAUUUGACGAACCACAUCCUGCUGUGGAGACACAGUCAGAAAAAUCCAGCAAACACCAAUCCUGUUAACAGAGCAGUCUCAUUCACUUUCUUAUUAAUUGAAGUGUAAAAGAUAACUGCUCCUCCUGCUCUCCUCCUCUUUCAGUUUAUCCCUCUCUCUGCACUCAUUUAAUCAUUCAAUUCUGUUUCUCCUGAUUGCCUCAUUAACCCUGUCUUCUGCCUGUCUAACUGUUCCUGUUUUCUUCCUCUCUUUCUACACUUUCUUCCCCUCUUCAUCAGCCUUAUUUUUUUCACUGCUCUUCUUCCUCAGCAUGUCUUUGUCUGCCCUGAAUGUUGUUGUUUUUUUCCCCCUCCCAUGUCAUGUGGAGUGUGUUGCUCGGCUAGAUAAUUAAACAAAGGGAGCUGGGGAGUGUCAAUAUUUGGUUGUCUCUUUUGCUUUGGUGCUCAUGAGAACAGUGAGGUUGACAAUUAGAACAGACAAUCCUGCCACGAUUGAUUGUCAUUUCCUGACAAUUUCCUGCACCGCAUGAUCUUAAUACGUGAAACUAAAAAGACCAGUCAUAUAUAUUUAAAGGAAAGAAAAAGUCAAUAUGAUGAUUGAUAUUUAUUUUAAAAAAGAAGCUCCUUUCCCUCAAGAUGAAUACCUUUAUCUUCUAAAUAUUGGCAUAUUUUGCUAACUGAGCAUGGAGAAAAAUAACCUAUAAAACUUAAUUUAAGUUUCCCUUUCCCCACACCAACAAGUUUUAUUUUAGAAAUGCCACCUAUUUAAAUCUGGCUGUUAUUAAACAAUAUGUCAGGCAGUGGAUUAACUGUAUUAACCUUUUGUUUGCCACAUAAUAGACCAAUCCUUUCUUAACCCUGGCCUACUCCUGCUUAAUAGUGUCUCACUGUCAAUGCGGCAGAUGCAGUCUUUAUGUAUAUGCUCUCUGCGUUUCAACUCCACAUGCCAAGAACUGAAAGUUUCCUUUUCAUUAAUUUUCCAAUUAUGCCUUUAAUGUCAGAUUUCUGUGCAAAUUGUUGGUUUAUUGUGAAUGUUAUCUCACCUAGUAUGGUGUGUAGAGUAUAACGAUAAUUUUUAAUUUCAUAAAAAGGUCCAGUUUCCCAUCUGCUUUCUCCAAAUAUGCAAUAGGAAAUGACUCAGUGGGAAACUGUUUUACUGGAGUAUGUGUGGAGACAAGGGUCACCCUCACUAAACUGUCAUACUUUCUCUUGUGUAAUUGAGUGUUUUCAGUCAGUGCGCUGGUUGCUUCAGCUGUUAUUGAAAUAUAUCUAUUUUGUUAUUGGUAUUUUAAAUGUCUUAAUACAAUUUUGAAGUCACCACAAGACAAUUUCUUAACUUUUUAGCAUGCUAACAUUGUCUUUAGCGUUAAGUGUUAAUUUGUAAUUCAAUGGAAUACAUUUUACAUUUUAAAAAAUUUGAUUAAAAGCUUUUUUACAAAUCAAAUUGUAAAAAGGUUUUGCUCAGGAUAAAUUCAUCACAUUUUAGCAUGUUAAUGUUAGCUUUAAGCUUUUAAUGAAUCUUCUCAAAUUCUUACUUAAUGGAAACCAUUAUAUUUUAAAAGUUUAGAUUGGGAAUGAGAACUCUAAAGCUUUCUUACAAACUAAUUUUUAAAGACAUUUUACACAAGAUAAAUCCCUAAUAUUUUAGCAUAUAGCUAAUUUAAGCUUUGAUCUUUAAAAGAGGUCUCCUCAGAUUGUUAUGGAGUGGAAAUUAUUAUAUUUCAUAUUUUAAAUGUUUAGAUUAAAAAACAAAAAGCUUUUCACAAAUACAUUUUCCACUCAAGAUAAAUCCUGUCCAUUGCAAGCUAACGUACAGUGGUGUUGGUCUAGAGCAGUCAAACCUCUACACAUUUAGGUGAUACUUCUUUUGAGUAUUUAACAUUAGACACACCCAGCCAUUGCUGAUUAAGUACUUUUUAGUUCAUUUUCACUGUGUGUUGGCCUUAAUCUCUAGUUUGCCAUGACCCGUACAAUAUUUUGCCAGCAGUGUUUUCAUUUGGUAUCUUGUGCAAUGACAGUCAUUGCUAUAAUAAUAGUAAUAAUACUAACGCUUGUGCCAUUGCGUUCCAGAAAAGGCCUCACCCUCAGUGCUAUUUAUGCUGACUGGCUUGAUCGACCGGGAUUUCCAAAGGUUGUAAAAUGGAUUUGUUUCAGUCGAAGUCAUCAGGGAAA